CUCUGUCUGAGGAGAGCUGCUGGAGGACGACUAGGAAUCGACCAACAAGGAUUCCUUAGACCAAUUACGUUUGUAACCAGACCAGGAAUCUGGAGGACUGAUGGAGAAGCCGUACAUCUAGAAGGCAGAUCCUGAGGACCACCAGGACUCUACCAUUAAGGAUUCCUCACGCACCUGAGCUGAACCCGCCCUGAUCCUGACAUCCUGCUGGUCCCGUCUC